rnacentral:rRNA from 1 species
CCCUUAGAUGUUCUGGGCCGCACGCGUGCUACACUGAGUGGAUCAGCGGGUCAGGUUGCGCGAAAGCGUUUCCUAAUCUUUAAAUCCGCUCGUGAUGGGGAUUGACGGUUGCAAUUUUCUGUCAUGAACGAGGAAUACCUUGUAAGCGCGGGUCAUCAUCCCGCGCUGAAUACGUCCCUGCCCUUUGUACACACCGCCCGUCGCUCCUACCGAUUGAAUGACUCGGUGAAAUAUCGGGACCGUUGUCUGGUUUGAUUCAUUUCGAACUAGAUAGUGGGAACUUUCUUUAACCUAUUUAUUUAGAGGAAGGUGAAGUCGUAACA